ACGGCAGGGGUGGGGGCUCCCGGCAAGCACCGCGGCCUUGCCCGCACCGGGGCCCCAAGCGGAGGACCUGGUUCUCUAAGAUCUGAUUCUUGGCAGCGUCUGUGAAUUGUAGAUAUUUCAAACAUACCCCUCAGAUGUUCUCUUCAGAGUGUGUCUUGGCUUUCAUCUUUACAGAACCAGAUGACCAGGCCUUUAUUCUGCACCACUACGGGCCAAGCGAAUAUCUGUUGCCUGGGUGGAGUAUACACGGCUACCUUUGACUAUCACUCUGACAAACCAAAAUGGAGUCCUGGGAGCUCUGGACCUUGCAGGACUCUGUCCUUUGCCCUUUUCCGAGACCCUGACUUUCCUCAAAUCCGGCCUGGGUGUCUGUGCAUCUGUUUGCUGAGGAAGUUGGUCUGGAAAGCAAGACAGGAGAGAGAACCGCGCUCAUCUCUCGGUGGUGGACUUACGGGUGAGUGUUGUUUUUUUGUUUGUUCACUUUAAAAACCAGGAUGUACAUGACUAUUAAUUUUGAAGAUAUACAGUAAUUUCUAGUAUUUGAACAAACCAUAGGAAGGGAGAUUUCCAACAGUGAUCCAUUCAUGUAGCAGAGCCACACUGAUAGACUAGUUCUUUUAUAUCGUUAGAGUAUUAAGUAGCUUUCCAGCAUGGUAGAGAAGUAUCUUUAGUGACAUCUUGAUUGUGUAACUCCACAUUAGAAAAGCAUCGAGGGGCAUGGAGAUGAUCUUAGUACACCUUAAGGUGAGAAGCCGAGGAUGAGAAGUCACUGUCCUUCAUUGCAAGAGAGAGAAGAAAACCAUUGUAGCCUGGAGCCCUUUGAUGCCGUCUGACUAAGAGAGGAUCAUUUGGCUACCCACCUUUCUAGUGGGAAGGAGCAGUCUUAGCCUCCAAUGGGAAGAGACUGUUGGGAACCCAUUGAAGAGAACCAGUUCUUGAAGGCCUUUGCCUUCACCUGUGAGUUGAGCCCUUCUACCUGUUCCUCCCAUGAUUUUUUUUAUCCCUCGUAGG